UACGUAGGGUGCAAGCGUUGUCCGGAAUUAUUGGGCGUAAAGAGCGUGUAGGCGGCCCGAUUAGUCCGCUGUGAAAGUCCAGGGCUCAACCCUGGAAUGCCGGUGGAUACUGUCGGGCUAGAGUCCGGAAGGGGCGAGUGGAAUUCCUGGUGUAGCGGUGAAAUGCGCAGAUAUCAAGAGGAACACCAGUGGCGAAGGCGAGUCCCUGGACAGGUCCUGACGCUGAGGCACGAAAGCUAGGGGAGCAAACAGG
rnacentral:rRNA from 1 species